AGAAACCAUAAAAAUGUUGGCCUGUUCGGAAAUAUUCGGUGAUCGUCGGCCGGACUGAUUGUGAGUUCACAUAUUUGGUGAAAAUGUAAACAGAACACCCAAAACACAUCGAACGUUGACUUCAAUUUUUGGUGUUUAUAUGUGCUUCUAGUUAUACAAUUUCUUGGGGAUAAUUAAUUCAAUUUAUCAGUGGACAUAAAAAUAUCAUACCACGGUUAUUAUGAGUGAACGUACUAAUUUUGGGCCAUCAAGCCAAUCCGUUGUUUGCCCGCAUUGUAAUCAUAGCGUAAACACAAAAAUAAAGCACAAAACUAAUGCUGGGAGCGGUAUUGGAUCACUUUUUGGUUACCUCCUCUGUGGGCUUUGUAUCUGCUGUCCGUGUUGCUGUGAAUCAUGUAUGGAUGUCAAGCAUUAUUGCCCAAUAUGUAAACAAUCUUUGGGAAUAUAUAAGAUUUAAUUCCAAUAAUAAUAAUCACAAUUUGUAAUAUUAAUCAGAAUACAUUCGCUGUUUAGUAUUGUAAAAUAAAUGUUUUUGAAUGCAA